rnacentral:rRNA from 1 species
UACGGGGGGGGCAAGCGUUGUUCGGAAUUACUGGGCGUAAAGGGCUCGUAGGUGGCCAACUAAGUCAGACGUGAAAUCCCUCGGCUUAACCGGGGAACUGCGUCUGAUACUGGAUGGCUGGAGUAUGGGAGAGGGAUGCGGAAUUCCAGGUGUAGCGGUGAAAUGCGUAGAUAUCUGGAGGAACACCGGUGGCGAAGGCGGCAUCCUGGACCAUUACUGACGCUGAGGGGCGAAAGCCAGGGGAGCAAACGGG